CCCUUAGACGUUCUGGGCCGCACGCGCGCUACACUGACGAAGGCAACGAGCUUUCCUUUACCGAAAGGUACGGGUAAUCUUUUGAAACUUCGUCGUGCUGGGGAUAGAUCCUUGCAAUUUUUGAUCUUAAACGAGGAAUGCCUAGUAAGCGCAAGUCAUCAACUUGCGUUGAUUACGUCCCUGCCCUUUGUACACACCGCCCGUCGCUACUACCGAUUGAAUGGUUUAGUGAGGCCUUCGGAUCCGCGACUCGUUUUGUGGAGAAGUUGGACAAACUCANUNAUUUAGNGGAAGUAAAANUCGUANCA
rnacentral:rRNA from 1 species